CCCCGGUGAGGCCGCGGCGGCCUUUGGUGUCCAGGCGCCUCCCCUUCGCGGCCAUCUGCCGGGAGGGGCAGAGGAGGCAGAGGCUGGCCGCGAAGGCGAGGGAGUCGCGUCAGCCGCGGGGAGGUGGAGUAUUUCACGUCCCUUUGGUAUAACUGCUCACAAUUGCUACAGACAAGCCAACUGUGUGUGUCCAGAUUUGAUUCUCUUCGUUUACAACUCAUGUAUCUGAUGAAACAGACUGCAAAAUCAUAUUACGAGACCGCCUGCUGUUACCCUUUGCCUCCCACCGACCCGUACGCUCCCACAGAGAGGGUCUCCUCAGGGUGCCGUCCGCCAAACAGUGUCGGCUGGCGGCCCCCAGGAGUAGGGCCUUCUCUGUGGGGGCAAUGACGCUCUGGAACGAACUUCCCCCUGGCCUGCGUCAAGUGCCUGAUCUUCGGACCUUCCGUCGUGAGCUCAAAACGUAUUUAUUUAUUAAAGCAGGACUGGCAUAAUUAGUGUUGAAUUUUAAUUGGGUAUUCUUAAUUAUUUUAAAUUUUUAAAUCUAAAUUUUAAUAAUCAGCCUUUAAAAUUUGCUCUUUUUAAAUGUUGUUUUAAAUUGUAUAUAUUUUGUUUUUAUUCUGGCUGUACACCGCCCUGAGUCCUUCGGGAGAAGGGCGGUAUAAAAAUUUAAUAAAUAAAUAAACAAAUAAAUAAAUAAAUAUCAAGAUUUAGAAUGAAAUCCACUGGGAGCCAUCUCAUAAAAAGCAGGCUCUGACUCUCUCUAACCAAAAAGUGUUUAUCAAUAGAAGAGAAUAUUUGUAGCUCAGGGUUGAACUGUGGGGUCCUUGGUGCUCUUUGAGCUUGAUGGUAUUCUUGCAGCUGUUUCAUUACCAAACUAGGUAACAUCAUUUGUACUAGAAGGGAGUGGAGUUUGUUCUUAUUUUCAUAUACUAGUCUAGUGGCUUAUCCUGUAAGUGUUGAUCAGUUGCUUCACAAAAAGUGUUUUGAUUGGUGCCGGGUCUCUACAGCCUCAGGCAGAGAAGGGCUAUUCUGCACCCCUCCCUCAAAUAUUCUUUAAAAUACAGAGUUUCCCAGCAUUCCUUUAGGAACUUCCAACAUGCAAACUGUGGUUACUCGUCCAAUAAUGAAUCCUCUUUACCUGGAGCUUCAAAAUUUGCUGUUUGCUGAGAAGGUGUUUAGCUAAAAGUCAGUCUACAUUUAGUCUACAUCUGACUUUGGGGAUAUUUCUUCAUAACCAAACAAAAGUGUAUUUUCUGUGCAGGUCACACCCCUUGCUCACCGAAUCUAGAUGCCAC